GACGAACGCUGGCGGCGUGCCUAAUACAUGCAAGUCGAACGCAGUGGGGACGGGUGAGUAACACGUUGGUAAGCUCCCAUCAGAGGGGAUAACACUUGGCAACAGGUGCUAAACCGAUAGUGAUGGAUGGCCCCGCGGUGCAUUAGCUAGUUGGUGAGGUAACGGCUCACCAAGGCAACGAUGCAUAGCCGACCUGAGAGGGUGAUCGGCCACACUGGGACUGAGACACGGCCCAGACUCCUACGGGAGGCAGCAGUAGGGAAUCGUCGGCAAUGGACGAAAGUCUGAUCGAGCAACGCCGCGUGAGUGAAGAAGGUUUUCGGAUCGUAAAACUCUUUUGGUAGAGAAGCGUUACCUAACCAGAAAGCCACGGCUAACUACGUGCCAGCAGCCGCGGUAAUUC
rnacentral:rRNA from 1 species